rnacentral:rRNA from 1 species
GAUGAACGCUGGCGGCGUGCCUAACACAUGCAAGUCGAACGGUGAAACGCCUAGCUUUUUGGUGGGUGGGGAGGAGGGGCGAGCGGGGGAGUAACACGAUAGUAACCUGCUCCCUCCUUCUGGAUAACCGCAUGAAAGUGUGGCUAAUACGGGAUAUUCUGGGCCUGUCGCAUCAUGGGUCCGGGAAAGAUUUGGUGUCGGUUGGGGAUGGGCCCGCGGCGUAUCAGCUGGUUGGUAGGGUGACGGCCUACCAAGGCGGCGAUGGGUAGCCGGCCUGACAGGGGGAUCGGCCACUCUGGCACGGAGACACGCUCCAGACUCCUACGGGAGGCAGCAGUGGGGAAUAUUUGUCAAUCGGCGGAAGCCUGACCGAGCCAUCCCGCGUGGGUGAGGAAGGGCUUCGUUUUGUAAAUCCCUCUUUUUCGGCAAGAAAACAGGCCUGCCUAGUUUGUGCGGUGGUGACGGUUCCCUAGAUAAGAGCCCCGGCUAACUUCCUG